AACCAUAGAAACCUGCGGAGUACCUGCGGAAGGAUCAUCAAUGAGAUUAUACCAAUUUGGUUUAAUUUUUUCAAGCCAAGAUGGCCUUCUUUUUGGCUUGCAAACAACACAGAUACCCAAAAAACUUGGAAAAAAACUUUCUAGUGGUUGCCUGAUAUAAAAGUGUUUGGAAAAGAAGAAAUGAGAAAUAAAACAACUUUCAGCAAUGGAUCU
rnacentral:misc_RNA from 1 species